AUCCAGAUGACGAGUCUCAAAUAAGACGAAGUGUGGCGCAUUGUUCUGGAU
rfam:Trichobilharzia regenti genome assembly, scaffold: TRE_scaffold0084321